CUUGUAUGAAUGGUUUGACGAAAUAUUAACUGUCUCAUAUUAAUAUAUAAAAUUUAAAUUUUAAGUUAAAAUGCUUAAAUUUUAUUGUAGGACGAGAAGACCCUAUAGAUCUUUAUUAUUUAUAUUUUUAUUAUUUUUUAAUAAUUAUUAUUCAUUAAUGAUAUAAAUUAUUUUGUUGGGGAAAUGUUGAAAAAAANAUAAUUCUUAAAUUUAUUAUUCAUUUAUUUUUGUUUAUAUGACCUUUUAAUAAUGUUUUUAAAUUUAAAUACCUUAGGGAUAACAGCGUAAUUCUUUUUGAGAGUUCUUAUCNACAAUGGAAAUUGCGACCCCGAUGUUGGAUUAAAAUUAUUUUUGGGUGUAAAUGCUCAAGCUUUAAGUCUGUUCGACUUUUAAAAUCUUACAUGAUCUGAGU
rnacentral:rRNA from 1 species